GAUGGUAGUGUAUUGGACUACCAAGUCGAUCACGGGUAACGGAGAAUUAGGGUUCGAUUCCGGAGAGGGAGCCUGAGAAACGGCUACCACAGCUACGGUAGGCAGCAGGUGCGUAAAUUACCCAAUCCAAAAUCUGGAAGGUAGUUACAGGAAAUUUGUUGCAUAGGAUUCUAUCCUAGACACAAACGAACACAUGUAAGUAUUGUGUGUUUAAUUGGAGGGCAAGUUUUGGUGCCAGCAGCCGCGGUAAUA
rnacentral:rRNA from 1 species